rnacentral:rRNA from 1 species
CCUACGAGUGGCAGCAGUGAGGAAUAUUGGUCAAUGGACGAGAGUCUGAACCAGCCAAGUAGCGUGAAGGAUGACUGCCCUAUGGGUUGUAAACUUCUUUUAUAUGGGAAUAAAAUGUUCCACGUGUGGGAUUUUGUAUGUACCCUAUGAAUAAGGAUCGGCUAACUCCGUGCCAGCAGCCGCGGUAAUACGGAGGAUCCGAGCGUUAUCCGGAUUUAUUUGGUUUAAAGGGAGCGUAGGUGGAUUGUUAAGUCAGUUGUGAAAGUUUGCGGCUCAACCGUAAAAUUGCAGUUGAAACUGGCAGUCUUGAGUACAGUAGAGGUGGGCGGAAUUCGUGGUGUAGCGGUGAAAUGCUUAGAUAUCACGAAGAACUCCGAUUGCGAAGGCAGCUCACUGGACUGCAACUGACACUGAGGCUCGAAAGUGUGGGUAUCAAACAGGAUUAGAUACCCGUGUAGUC